AGCUCCCGGGCAAUGGGCAAAGAGACACCUUAUUGGUGGCACCGUUCCUUAUAUCAUCAGUCAGGGGCAGAGCAGAUGGCAGUCCUUUGCUCAUCCUGGCUUGAUGCUUCACUUGGUGGCCACAGCUGUCAUAUGCCUAGGACACAUAA